UACAGAGGUCUCAAGCGUUGUUCGGAUUCAUUGGGCGUAAAGGGUGCGUAGGCGGCGCGGUAAGUCGGGUGUGAAAUCUCGGAGCUUAACUCCGAAACUGCAUUCGAUACUGACGGGCUAGAGUACUGGAGGGGAAAGCGGAAUUCCUGGUGUAGCGGUGAAAUGCGUAGAUAUCAGGAGGAACACCGGUGGCGAAGGCGGCUUUCUGGACAGUAACUGACGCUGAGGCGCGAAAGCUAGGGGAGCAAACAGG
rnacentral:rRNA from 1 species